rnacentral:rRNA from 1 species
AACGAACGCUGGCGGCGUGGAUCAGGCAUGCAAGUCGGACGAUCCUUCGGGAUAGUGGCAGAAGGGUUAGUAACGCGUGGGUAAUCUACCUUCGAGUUGGGAAUAACACCCCGAAAGGGGUGCUAAUACCGGAUGAAACUUUUCUUUCGCAUGAAAGAAAAAUCAAAGAUGGGGACCAUUAGGCCUGUCGCUUGAAGAUGAGCCCGCGUCCUAUCAGCUUGUUGGUGAGGUAAAAGCUCACCAAGGCUUUUGACGGGUAGCUGAUCUAAGAGGAUGAUCAGCAACACUGGGACUGAGACACUGCCCAGACUCCUACGGGAGGCUGCAGUCGAGAAUCUUUACCAAUGCUCGAAAGAGUGAGUAUGCGACGCCGCGUGUAGGAUGAAGGCCCUCGGGUCGUAAACUACUGUCAGGGGUGAGGAAACUUU